CUGUAGGGGGACAGUUUCACAGAGGUCACACAGUAGGACUUCCUGAGCACUGCGCCGGGGAUGCAUUUCUAAUGCCGGGAUCACAGGAGGAGUUUACUGUUAAUUAAAUAAAAACAGAAUGUCAUUUAAAGAUUUUAACAGAAUGAGUUGAGUGGGAUAAUGAACCUCCAGAUGUCUAUGUACACGUGUAUAAAUAAACUCUGUUGUACUCGCACAUGCGAGCUUAUCCAAUA